UUUGUGAUGUUUUGUUUCGGCGUGUGUUAGCCGAGCUACGAGUGCUCUGAUUCUUCCUCUGGAUAGAGAAGAUACGUAGGCAUAGGAUGCGAUGUCCUAGCAAGCAUGUCUCCCUUUUCCCCGAACUACGUCGACUCUGAUGUUUGUUUCUGACAAACUAAGUAGGCCCAGGAUGCGACAUCCUGCCGAGUCCACUUCCUCCGUCU
rnacentral:lncRNA from 1 species